GAUGAACGCUGGCGGCGUGCCUAAUACAUGCAAGUCGAGCGAACGGACGAGAAGCUUGCUUCUCUGAUGUUAGCGGCGGACGGGUGAGUAACACGUGGAUAACCUACCUAUAAGACUGGGAUAACUUCGGGAAACCGGAUCUAAUACCGGAUGAUAUUUUGAACCGCAUGGUUCAAAAGUGAAAGACGGUCUUGCUGUCACUUAUAGAUGGAUCCGCGCUGCAUUAGCUAGUUGGUAAGGUAACGGCUUACCAAGGCAACGAUGCAUAGCCGACCUGAGAGGGUGAUCGGCCACACUGGAACUGAGACACGGUCCAGACUCCUACGGGAGGCAGCAGUAGGGAAUCUUCCGCAAUGGGCGAAAGCCUGACGGAGCAACGCCGCGUGAGUGAUGAAGGUCUUCGGAUCGUAAAACUCUGUUAUUAGGGAAGAACAUAUGUGUAAGUAACUGUGCACAUCCUGACGGUACCUAAUCAGAAAGCCACGGCUAACUACGUG
rnacentral:rRNA from 1 species